rnacentral:rRNA from 1 species
CGAACGGGUGAGUAACGCGUGAGGAACCUGCCUCAAAGAGGGGGACAACAGUUGGAAACGACUGCUAAUACCGCAUAAGCCCACGGGUCGGCAUCGACCAGAGGGAAAAGGAGCAAUCCGCUUUGAGAUGGCCUCGCGUCCGAUUAGCUAGUUGGUGAGGUAAUGGCCCACCAAGGCAACGAUCGGUAGCCGGGCUGAGAGGUUGAACGGCCACAUUGGGACUGAGACACGGCCCAG